rnacentral:lncRNA from 1 species
GCGGGCCUCGGUGGGGCGGGCCUCGGUGGGGCGGGGCCUCUGUGGGGGCGGGGCGUAAAACCCACCUCUGACCCGCUGGAAACGCACCUGUCUCAGGUGCCCUCCGCUCCCACCUUAUGGCGGUUUCUCUGCGCUUUCAUCUCCAGGUUUUAUUCAAGAGGGCCCCCACACUCCCAGGUUGCUCUUCCAUGAGUGCAAGGACACAGUGUGGGGCACCAAGCUCAAGACGGCCCCUGGACCUGGAUGCCGGCAAACAGACCCAGGUGUGGGCGCCCUUCUUUCACACCAGCCGAGCACCUUGGCUCCCGAGAAAUGUGGCUGCAGCAGGAGAUCCCCGCUGUUAGCCCUGCCCCCACGACGGCCUGACUUCCAAGGUCUCCCCAAAUUUCCAAAUACAUUUUCUGGUGCCACCCAGCCUGAAAUUAAGCCAACUCCCAACAUAUUCUCCAAAUUUGGUGAAAAUCUAACCCUUUUCUUAGGACAAGACCAGAAAACUUGAUUUGUUUACGUGAUGGAAUGACUGCUCCAAGAUUGAUUAUGGAUUAUUUGCAUCAACAAAAGCAUGAAAAAAAUUUAAGCGAGGAAUCCCAGGCAGGAAAGAAACAGAAAUGCUUCCUCAUCAGUUUUAACAGCAAACAGUCUUUGAGUCACCAAGACCCUGAGGGUUCCUAGCUAAGGACUCAGACGGCUUACAGCGUCUAUCCCGCGUGGACUCUGAUUUUCUUCCAAGGUGAUCUGACAGCUCCAAAUCUAUGAAGACAACGUGCUUGGUUUCCUCAGAUGCUACAUUAAAACCCGUCUCCGUUCAGAACUGGC